UAAUAAUUAUUAAUAUUAAUUAUAAAUAAUAAAAUAAUAAUAUCGAUUAUCUAAUGAAUAAUAAUAAUAAUACUAUUUAAUAAUUAUUAUUAAAUAAUAAUUAUUAAAAUUUAUUAAUAAAUAAUUAUAAAUAAUAAAUUAAUAAUAAUAUCGAUGAUCUAAUUAUCAAUAAUUAUUAAUUAAUAAUAAUACCGAUUAUCUAAUUAUUAAUAAAUAAUAGUUAUUAAUAAAUAAUAAUAAUUAUAAAAAAUUAUUAAUAAUUAAUUACAAUAAUAAAUUAAUAAUAAUAAU
rnacentral:lncRNA from 1 species